UUGAACCGUCGGUUCCUCAAUUUUAGCCAAGUGAAUUGGUCAAAACCAUCAAUUGAAUCGGUUAGAUAGACAUUAUAUAGCUCUUCUAAAAUUGCAGAUGCAAUUGGCAUCUCCUAUUUCUCCAUUCUUCCCCCCUGCUCAUCCUUAUCUCCCCUUCUUGGUGCAUCGGCACAGCCACUCACCGGACGACUCCCCACCACCAGAAAAUUCACCUCACAUUAGCGCACCACUCGGACCUCACAUCUAAUCAAACCACCACAUUGCACCUCUUCACGCCUCUUUGUCUUUCUCCUCGAAUACCAUUGCACCACCACAAUUUGUUUGUUUAUUUGUUGAUGAAGGCGAUAAAGAAACAAAUUACUUGAAUCUCUAAUCUCAACAGAAAUACACCGUCACCCCCAAACCCUAUCGGUGGAUUUGGACUCAAAAUAUCCUUCUCUUCGCACUCAUUUUUCUCUUCUCACUCGAUUGAUGCUCUUGGACCUGAAAGUGUUUCCAUUACCGCCAUCAACCACCACAAACCGUCACCAGAUAUACGAAGAAGAAAACACACAUACAUCGCCGCCACAUCUAAAGGAAAACCUCGAAAAUCACUAAAAACGAGUUUGUAUUUUGUGUUUUGUGGUUUCUGUUUAUUUAACCCUAAACUAUACUCUUGAUUCUUAAAUAUGGGUUUUAGGCCGCCUUCCUCUCACCAUCAGGUUAUAACUUCCUCACUCUUGGACUUCAAAAAAUCAGAUUAAAAAAUAUCUCGCCCAUGAAUAUAUAAAUUUGUAAUACAUGACAACCUUUGACUCUUUUUCGUUGUCUCUCAACCUCUCUUUCCGUAUUUAUUUAAAACCACCAUAACAAUUCCUAAAAUGGUUGUUGAUUUAACAUUUCAUUGAUUUUUGUGUUGGUCUGGUUGGUUGCAGUUUUAAUGAAGGUUUCAAGAAAUCCAAGCUUCAACUGGUAAGUUGUAUUUCCUAAUUUCCCUUGUGUUUAUAGGUAUUUAUCAAUUUGCAGUUGGAUGGCUUUUGGUGUUUACAUUUACAGUUAAAGUUAGUAUAGCGUCUUUGCUACGAGCUAGGUGUUUCUAAGUACAUGUAAAAAUUCUUCCUUUUUCUUCUUUUUGGAGAUAUCAACUUUAUUUUUGGUUUUUUGUUCUUCCAAAAGUUGCGACUUUAGGUAAAUUGAAGAUUUGAUGACGUGUUUUGGUACAUUCAGUCCACAUUAUUCAUAUAUAUAUGUUGUUGUAUUGUGAUCACUUAAAGACCAAAAAUUCCUCCUUGAAGGUACUUUGGAGGGAAUAUAUGGACCUAAAUCUAGGUAAGAACAUGUUUUGCUUAACGUGGAUAAGAAAAAAAUGAAAUUAAGAAGUUAUAUUAGAAAAAAUAAAAUGAGAGUGCAUUGAGAUUUAUUGCAUUUUUCCUAAUCGUGGGUUGAAUGUAAUAAUUAACAAUGUAUGUCUGUUUUGUCUAAUAUAACAACAUACCUUUAGUUCUAUUUUUUUUUUCUUAUUUAGGCUUCCUAUAUUGUCUAUAACCCGUUGAAAUCAAUAGAAACUUUGUUUCAGGUCGACUGGAUGUGAUUGGAUUUCUAUUUUUCGUGACAGGGACCAUUGUGGGAGAGAAAGAGGAAGGAGUAUGGGUGGUGGUGUAUGCUCCUGAUUAAGGCUAAAAUGAACAUUUAGAGUCUUUUCUUUAAAGAGUAACAUUUAGAGUCUUAGUGAAGUCUAAAAUGAAUUUGUCAAGUGUGCCUACUAGAUCUUUAAUAUGGUUUUCCAUUUCAAAGUUAAUUACCAAUUUUAGCUUUUUGGAUAAUAGUAAUUUGAAAGUUCUGUUAACAUAUUUCUGCAGAUUUGAAAUCGCAAGGCUAUAAGAUAUUUAAAAAGUAUGUCAACAAAACGAAGCUUCCCUUCUUACAUAAAUUCUGAAAUGCUGUACAGCUACCUCCAUGGCAAAAAAAAAAACAUGCAAUGGCAAGAACAUAAUAGAAAAUUUAUAUGUUAAUUGGAGUAGCCAAGGUGGCUUUCCUGUCAAAGAUCGAGACAGAGGAAGCUGAGGUUCAGAUGAUUGUUGUCUGUCCUCAUUGUCUUGGUGUUGGUGCUGUUAUUUUUUAUUGAAAUUGUGUAUAUUUCUAACAGUUUUAAUUACUGCAUUGGUGAAGGCUUUCUAUUUAUGCAAUUCAUAUAUUUUGUAUUUCAUUUAUGCAAUUCAUAUAUUUUGUAUUUCAUCUA